rnacentral:sRNA from 1 species
GCUUAAUACAUGCUAAAUUUUCGAAUAGAAAUACGGGGGAACCACCUAUUGGGGCGAAUCGCAGCGCAUGGCUGCGUAGGAAACCAUCUUUACCGAGUCCGUCAGCUAACCUCGUCAGCAUGAGAUGGGUCGUCAU